GACGUAGGGGGCGAGCGUUGUCCGGAUUUAUUGGGCGUAAAGCGCGCGUAGGCGGCCCGUUAAGUCGGAUGUGAAAACCCGGGGCUCAACCCCGGGCCUGCAUUCGAUACUGGCGGGCUCGAGGCAGGCAGAGGAGAGUGGAAUUCCUGGUGUAGCGGUGAAAUGCGCAGAUAUCAGGAGGAACACCGGUGGCGAAGGCGGCUCUCUGGGCCUGUCCUGACGCUCAGGCGCGAAAGCUAGGGGAGCAAACAGG
rnacentral:rRNA from 1 species